UGCCAGCAGCCGCGGUAAUACGAAGGGGGCUAGCGUUGUUCGGAAUCACUGGGCGUAAAGCGCGCGUAGGCGGACUAUUAAGUCAGGGGUGAAAUCCCAGGGCUCAACCUUGGAACUGCCUUCGAUACUGGUAGUCUUGAGGUCGAGAGAGGUGAGUGGAAUUCCGAGUGUAGAGGUGAAAUUCGUAGAUAUUCGGAGGAACACCAGUGGCGAAGGCGGCUCACUGGCUCGAUACUGACGCUGAGGUGCGAAAGUGCGGGGAGCAAACAGGAUUAGAUA
rnacentral:rRNA from 1 species